rnacentral:rRNA from 1 species
CCUACGGGAGACAGCAGUGAGGAAUAUUGGUCAAUGGGCGGAAGCCUGAACCAGCCAAGUCGCGUGAGGGAAUAAGGCCCUACGGGUCGUAAACCUCGUUUGCCGGGGAGCAAGGGCCGGGACGAGUCCCGGUCCGGAGAGUACCCGGAGGAAAAGGAUCGGCAAACUGCGUGCCAGCAGCCGCGGUAAUACGGGGGAUGCGAGUGGUAUCAGGAUGUAUUGGGUUAAAAGGGUGCGUAGGCGGGCUUUUGCGUCAGCGGUAAAAAUUCGGGGCACAACCCCGUGCGGCCGGUGAAACUGGGGGACUUGAGUGGGCGAGAAGAGGCCGGAAUGCGUGGUGUAGCGGUGAAAUGCGCAGAUAUCACGAAGAACCCCGAUUGCGAAGGCAGGCUUCCGGCGCCCUACUGACGCUGAGGCACGAAAGUGCGGGGAGCGAACAGGAUUAGAUACCCGGGUAGUC